GUCGAGGGGCAGCACGGGAUAGCUUGCUAUCUGGGUGGCGACCGGCGCACGGGUGCGUAACGCGUAUGCAACUUGCCCUAUACAGGAGGAUAACCCGUCGAAAGACGGACUAAUACUGCGUAUGCUCACAGGUUGGCAUCAACUGGUGAGGAAAGAAAUUCGGUAUAGGAUAGGCAUGCGUCCCAUUAGCUAGUUGGUGAGGUAACGGCUCACCAAGGCAACGAUGGGUAGGGGAACUGAGAGGUUUAUCCCCCACACUGGUACUGAGACACGGACCAGACUCCUACGGGAGGCAGCAGUGAGGAAUAUUGGUCAAUGGGCGAGAGCCUGAACCAGCCAAGUCGCGUGAAGGAUGACUGUCUUAUGGAUUGUAAACUUCUUUUAUGCGGGAAUAACAAUGAUCACGUGUGAUCACCUGCAUGUACCGUAUGAAUAAGCAUCGGCUAACUCCGUGCCAGCAGCCGCGGUAAUACGGAGGAUGCGAGCGUUAUCCGGAUUUAUUGGGUUUAAAGGGUGCGUAGGCGGUUUGUUAAGUCAGCGGUGAAAUCUAGAGGCUCAACCUCGAAACUGCCGUUGAAACUGGCGAACUUGAGUGUAGAUGAGGUAGGCGGAAUUCGUGGUGUAGCGGUGAAAUGCAUAGAUAUCACGAGGAACUCCGAUUGCGAAGGCAGCUUACUAAGGUACAACUGACGCUGAAGCACGAAAGCGUGGGUAUCAAACAGGAUUAGAUACCCUGGUAGUCCACGCAGUAAACGAUGAUAACUGGGCGUAUGCGAUAUACAGUAUGCUCCUAAGCGAAAGCGUUAAGUUAUCCACCUGGGGAGUACGCCGGCAACGGUGAAACUCAAAGGAAUUGACGGGGGCCCGCACAAGCGGAGGAAC
rnacentral:rRNA from 1 species